CAAAGCUGGAACAGCUACCCACUACAAACAUACGGUCAGCUGUGUAACAUGCAUGACUCCAGCAGAGGUCCAUCUGGUUUUCAUUACCAUGUUCCCCUCUCUCUUUGUGGGACUUCAGUUUUGCUGACAACUUUCAGCAGGAUGUAGCAAGCAAAUUUUGAAUACCUACUGUGUGCUGAGCCUUGGACUCCAGAAGAGGCUGCUGUGCAGAGGAAGAGAUUGCCCAUGAUCCUGCAGCUGGGAUUAGUAGUUUAAUCACAGCCUCUAUUGACUGGAAGAUCAAGAAACCACCGUGCUGACUCCUCAGACCAUACCUUAAUUUUGCAGUUCCCAAACUUCAGACGCAAAGAUGCCCAGAUGGAGAAAGGCUUCAGCAAUGGAGUAAACUUUCCCAUGAAUUCUACUUGCUUAGAGCAGAGCCUGCUGGGAGCCCCAACAGUGUGAGAGGAAGAGUUGGAAGCCUUCAGUGAGCAUAAUCAAAUUGGCUUCUCCUUUCUUUUCGUGGGCUGCAUGCUCCUACUGAUGAAA